UCCCCGGUAGUAUAGUGGUGAGAAUCUCCGCCUGUCACGUGGGAGACCGGGGUUCAAUUCCCCGCCGGGGAG
rnacentral:tRNA from 1 species